GCAUGCGAGUCACGCAGCAAUGCGUGGCAUACGGCUCAGUAACACGUAGUCAACAUGCCCAGGGGACGUGGAUAACCUCGGGAAACUGAGGAUAAACCGCGAUAAGCCAAGGUUUCUGGAAUGGACAAUGGCUGAAACCUAUAUGGCCCCUGGGCUGGACUGCGGCCGAUCAGGCUGUUGGUGAGGUAAUGGCCCACCAAACCUGUAACCGGUACGGGCUCUGAGAGGAGGAGCCCGGAGAUGGGCACUGAGACAAGGGCCCAGGCCCUAUGGGGCGCAGCAGGCGCGAAACCUCUGCAAUAGGCGAAAGCUUGACAGGGUUACUCUGAGUGAUGUCCGCUAAGGGCAUCUUUUGGCACUUCUAAAAAUAGUGUAGAAUAAGGGGUGGGCAAGUCUGGUGUCAGCCGCCGCGGUAAUACCAGCACCCCGAGUGGUCGGGACGAUUAUUGGGCCUAAAGCAUCCGUAGCCGGUUCUGCAAGUCUUCCGUUAAAUCCACCUGCUCAACAGAUGGGCUGCGGGGGAUACUACAGGGCUAGGAGGCGGGAGAGGCAAGCGGUACUCAGUGGGUAGGGGUAAAAUCCUCUGAUCCACUGAAGACCACCAGUGGCGAAGGCGGCUUGCCAGAACGCGCUCGACGGUGAGGGAUGAAAGCUGGGGGAGCAAACCGGAUUAGAUACCCGGGUAGUCCCAGCUGUAAACGAUGCAGACUCGGUGAUGGGUUGGCUUCGAGCCAACCCAGUGCCGCAGGGAAGCCGUUAAGUCUGCCGCCUGGGGAGUACGGUCGCAAGACUGAAACUUAA
rnacentral:rRNA from 1 species